GAUGGUAUAGCUCAGUGGUAAAGCAUGUGCUUAACACGCGUGAGGUUCUGGGUUCAAUCCCCAGAACCUCCA
rnacentral:tRNA from 1 species